rfam:Triticum aestivum genome assembly, contig: Triticum_aestivum_CS42_TGACv1_scaffold_513939_6BS
UAUAAACUCCUUCCGUCCGGAAAUACUUGUCGUAGAAAUGGAUACAAAUGAAUGUAUUUAGAACUAAAAUACAUCUAGAUACAUCAAUUCCUCGGACAAGUAUUUUCGGACGGAGGGAGUAUGUU